UACGAAGGGGGCUAGCGUUGCUCGGAAUCACUGGGCGUAAAGGGUGCGUAGGCGGGUUUUUAAGUCAGAGGUGAAAUCCUGGAGCUCAACUCCAGAACUGCCUUUGAUACUGAAAGUCUUGAGUAUGGGAGAGGUGAGUGGAACUGCGAGUGUAGAGGUGAAAUUCGUAGAUAUUCGGAGGAACACCAGUGGCGAAGGCGGCUCACUGGCUCGGUACUGACGCUGAGGUGCGAAAGCGUGGGGAGCAAACAGG
rnacentral:rRNA from 1 species